rnacentral:rRNA from 1 species
AUACGUAGGGGGCGAGCGUUGUCCGGAAUUAUUGGGCGUAAAGGGUUCGCAGGCGGUCUGAUAAGUCAGAUGUGAAAGGCAAUGGCUCAACCAUUGUAAGCAUUUGAAACUGUCAGACUUGAGUUAAGGAGAGGAAAGUGGAAUUCCUAGUGUAGCGGUGAAAUGCGUAGAUAUUAGGAGGAAUACCAGUGGCGAAGGCGACUUUCUGGACUUAUACUGACGCUGAGGAACGAAAGCGUGGGGAGCAAACAGGAUUAGAUCCCCUGGUAGCCCACGCCGUAAACGAUGAGUGCUAGGUGUUGGGGGUCAAACCUCGGUGCCGCAGCUAACGCAUUAAGCACUCCGCCUGGGGAGUACGUACGCAAGUAUGAAACUCAAAUGAAUUGACGGGG